AUCUAUUAACCUGCAAUUAGGACAGAUUUACAUGUAAUGAAAAUAUAAAUUAGAUAGAAUAGUACCCAGAUAAAUAAACACAUAAAUAAACGUAUACAGUAUUUACCUCCAACUUUGUGCGAGCUGGGAUCAAGCUCUUUAGUCGGCAACGGAAUGUUUUAUGAACAACCGUUUUAUUGUUGAAAAAGCUGUCCCAGGUUUUAGGGGGCGGCGCGGACAGUUACAGGAUAGGAGGCGUAUAUUGGUCGUCUCGAAGCGAAGUCCUUCUUGU
rnacentral:misc_RNA from 1 species